UUGUUGGGUAGGGGAGCGUUCUGUAAGCCGUUGAAGGUGACCUGUGAGGGUUGCUGGAGGUAUCAGAAGUGCGAAUGCUGACAUAAGUAACGAUAAUGCGGGUGAAAAACCCGCACGCCGGAAGACCAAGGGUUCCUGUCCAACGUUAAUCGGGGCAGGGUGAGUCGACCCCUAAGGCGAGGCUGAAAAGCGUAGUCGAUGGGAAACAGGUUAAUAUUCCUGUACUUGGUGUUACUGCGAAGGGGGGACGGAGAAGGCUAGGCUGGCCGGGCGACGGUUGUCCCGGUUUAAGCGUGUAGGGGGAGUGACCAGGUAAAUCCGGUUGCUUAUCAACCCUGAGGCGUGAUGACGAUGCACCACGGUGCAGAAGCAGUUGAUGCCAUGCUUCCAGGAAAAGCCUCUAAGCAUCAGGUAACAUUAAAUCGUACCCCAAACCGACACAGGUGGUCAGGUAGAGAAUACUCAGGCGCUUGAGAGAACUCGGGUGAAGGAACUAGGCAAAAUGGUGCCGUAACUUCGGGAGAAGGCACGCUGGCGUUAGGUGAAAGGACUAGCUCCUGGAGCUGAAGCCAGUCGCAGAUACCAGCUGGCUGCAACUGUUUAAUAAAAACACAGCACUGUGCAAACACGAAAGUGGACGUAUACGGUGUGACGCCUGCCCGGUGCUGGAAGGUUAAUUGAUGGGGUCAGCCGCAAGGCGAAGCUCUUGAUCGAAGCCCCAGUAAACGGCGGCCGUAACUAUAACGGUCCUAAGGUAGCGAAAUUCCUUGUCGGGUAAGUUCCGACCUGCACGAAUGGCGUAAUGAUGGCCAGGCUGUCUCCACCCGAGACUCAGUGAAAUUGAACUCGCUGUGAAGAUGCAGUGUACCCGCGGCAAGACGGAAAGACCCCGUGAACCUUUACUAUAGCUUGACACUGAACAUUGAGCCUUGAUGUGUAGGAUAGGUGGGAGGCCUUGAAGUGUGGACGCCAGUCUGCAUGGAGCCAACCUUGAAAUACCACCCUUUAAUGUUUGAUGUUCUAACUCGGCCCCAUGAUCUGGGGUGAGGACAGUGUCUGGUGGGUAGUUUGACUGGGGCGGUCUCCUCCCAAAGAGUAACGGAGGAGCACGAAGGUUAGCUAAUCACGGUCGGACAUCGUGAGGUUAGUGCAAAGGCAUAAGCUAGCUUGACUGCGAGAGUGACGGCUCGAGCAGGUACGAAAGUAGGUCUUAGUGAUCCGGUGGUUCUGAAUGGAAGGGCCAUCGCUCAACGGAUAAAAGGUACUCCGGGGAUAACAGGCUGAUACCGCCCAAGAGUUCAUAUCGACGGCGGUGUUUGGCACCUCGAUGUCGGCUCAUCACAUCCUGGGGCUGAAGUAGGUCCCAAGGGUAUGGCUGUUCGCCAUUUAAAGUGGUACGCGAGCUGGGUUUAGAACGUCGUGAGACAGUUCGGUCCCUAUCUGCCGUGGGCGUUGGAAGAUUGAGAGGGGCUGCUCCUAGUACGAGAGGACCGGAGUGGACGAAUCACUGGUGUUCGGGUUGUCAUGCCAAUGGCAUUGCCCGGUAGCUAAAUUCGGAAGAGAUAACCGCUGAAAGCAUCUAAGCGGGAAACUUGCCUCGAGAUGAGUCUUCCCUGGGGCUUAAAGCCCCCUGAAGGAACGUUAAAGACUAUGACGUUGA
rnacentral:rRNA from 4 species